rnacentral:lncRNA from 1 species
UUAGUGCCAGUUUACAUGUAAGCUAAGGUCAUCGAUGUUUGAUGUUCAUGGCUGAAGCACAAAUAAUUCUCGUUACCGUAGAACAUAAACCCCCAAAAUCAACUAGGUUAACACAAUUUCGAACCUAAUAAACGUAGGGUUUAAACCCUAAAACUCACUUUUGUGCAGGUUAAGGUCGACCAGCACCAACCAACCAUCGAUCUCUUUUGGUGACAAUCUGAGAGUGUUUCCCACCUAGCUCUCUCCCUUCACUAACACGAAUCCAAGAGAUCGAGGGAGAGAAAAAGAUAGGGAGAGAGAGCCAACUUUGGAACAGUUUCUUAAGCUUUGGAUGCUUUAUAAAGAUACAAAACACUUUAUGGCAAAUGUCAACCUCUUAAAUCUAAAAGUCAAGUACUUUUCUCACCAUCAUCGUUCUCUCUAUGCCGCCUCUCUCUCUAUCUCUCUCUCUCUCUCUCUCUCUCUCUCUCUCACACACACACACACACACACACACACACACUCACACACACUAUACAUGUAUAAUUAAUGGCUUAUGAUGGGGGGCUCUCAAGGAAAGAGUCAAUGGCUACACAGACUCAUUUGGUGUCUUCCUGUCUCCCUGGCUAUAUGUAUGAUAAUGGGGCUCUUUGUUUCUCGUUUUAUUUUUCACUUUCAUCUCUCCUCUUGGAAGAAAAGGGCAUACAAAAUUAGGGUUUGGGACAGUAAAACCCCACCAAUGGGGCAUGUCCACUGAGGCAUGUUUCCCAUUUCACAUUGCGUGAUUUUGCAAAAUUUACAAAGGUGGUAGUCUCCAUCCAGCCCCGUAUUAGGGACCCAAUUGCUACUGGGUGGAAGAGAGCCGGCCCCAUACUUUGUCAUGCACCAAAAGAGUGCUUAGACUCCACAAGAUUUGGCCCCACCAUGCACCUUUCUCACUCUAGAAUUGUUUUCCUUUGCUUUGCUUCCAUUUUACACCUCUCUCUCUCUCUCGUUGGUUUGAGGUGGUGUCGG